CUACAAGCUUAUUAAUAGCUUGUUCUUAAUUCAGCUCUUCUAUACAUUAAGGACGCAGUGCAAAUAAUUCAUUUUCUCCGUAAAAAGUUUUUAUUUGAAGCAUCAAUAAAUCUUUGGAAUUAAAAAAUCAAUGCUGUUAUAACACGCCCUGACAGCAAUUACAUUCAACCCAAUACUGACAUUUUUUUAUUUACUGUGCAAAGUUAUGUUCAGUAUAAGUGAACUUUGUUGUAUGUUUUGCUGCCCGCCAUGUCCUGGGCCGAUUGCAGCUAAAUUGGCUUUUCAACCUCCAGAUCCAACAUAUAAAUUAACACCGACGGACGGAAAUAAUGCAAAAUAUAAUAUUCAAUUCUUUGAUCGAGCAGAAUGGCAAUAUUCAGAUAGAGAUAAGUCGAAAGUGGAAGCAUUUUUUACCCGAACCUCUCGUGGUAAUCUGAUAACAUGUAUAUAUGUCCGUUGCAGCAAAAAUGCAAAGUAUACUUUGCUUUUUUCACAUGGCAAUGCAGUUGACCUAGGGCAGAUGAGCAGUUUUUACAUAUCACUAGGUUCACAACUUAAUUGCAAUAUUUUCGGGUAUGAUUAUUCUGGAUACGGUAUGAGUGGAGGAAAGCCUUCGGAAAAAAAUCUGUAUGCUGAUAUAGAAGCGGCUUGGCAAUCUAUGAGGACCAGAUUUAACAUCAACCCUGAAUCCAUCAUUCUCUAUGGGCAAAGUAUUGGAACGGUACCUACUGUAGAUUUAGCAACGAGACAUGAAGUAGGAGCUGUAAUACUUCAUUCCCCCUUAAUGUCUGGGCUUAGAGUAGUUUUUAGGAACACCAAACGAACGUGGUUUUUUGAUGCAUUUCCGAGCAUUGACAAGGUUUCAAAAGUUAAGUCACCCGUUUUGGUAAUACAUGGAACUGAGGAUGAAGUAAUAGAUUUUUCUCAUGGAAUUGGCAUUUACGAAAGAUGUCCUAAAGCUGUGGAGCCACUUUGGGUCGAGGGUGCGGGUCAUAACGAUGUAGAACUUCAUCCUCAAUAUUUUGAACGUCUUAAGAAAUUUCUUUCAACAGAAUUGUCUAAAUGACAACUAAAGAACUGUUCAAAUGAAGUAGUCCGUAAGAUGAUAACGCCAACAUUGCCAAAAAGUAAUGCUUUCAUCUCCCCGGAUAGACAUAGUCAACCAUCAUCUAAUCAAAUUCCAAAACAAUUUUCGAAUUCGCCUACUCUAAAGCGCGAUUUUUUAAACCCGAUUUUAAAUGAAGAGAAGAAGGCCGAUGGGUGCGGGUCAUAACGAUGUAGAACUUCAUCCUCAAUAUUUUGAACGUCUUAAGAAAUUUCUUUCAACAGAAUUGUCUAAAUGACAACUAAAGAACUGUUCAAAUGAAGUAGUCCGUAAGAUGAUAACGCCAACAUUGCCAAAAAGUAAUGCUUUCAUCUCCCCGGAUAGACAUAGUCAACCAUCAUCUAAUCAAAUUCCAAAACAAUUAAGCUCGUCUCGAAAGAGAAAACAAACACUUAAAUUUUCGAAUUCGCCUACUCUAAAGCGCGAUUUUUUAAACCCGAUUUUAAAUGAAGGGAAGGAAGUCGAUGGUAAGUAAUUAAUAAAAUAGUUAAUUAGAAUUGUACAAUUAUACAUUAUUAAGAUUUUGGAUUUUGUAGAUAAGUUAAAAAAAAUUGUACGUCCGUUUCCAUUUUAAGAAUAUAAAUAUGAAAAUAUUGUACAUUAUACGGUAUGUCCUACAAAUAUAGGUAUCAUAUAAACCUGCACUAAUAAAUAAUUUUUCCAAAACCCAAUUAAA